GACGAACGCUGGCGGCAGGCCUAACACAUGCAAGUCGAGCGAGCGGCGGACGGGUGAGUAAUGUCUGGGAAACUGCCUGAUGGAGGGGGAUAACUACUGGAAACGGUAGCUAAUACCGCAUAACAUCAGCUGUGCCCAGAUGGGAUUAGCUAGUAGGUGGGGUAACGGCUCACCAAGGCGCCGAUCCCUAGCUGGUCUGAGAGGAUGACCAGCCAGACUGGAACGGAGACACGGUCCAGACUCCUACGGGAGGCAGCAGUGGGGAAUAUUGCACAAUGGGCGCAAGCCUGAUGCAGCCAUGCCGCGUGGAUGAAGAAGGCCUUCGGGUUGUAAAGUACUUUCAGCGGGGAGGCGUUACCCGCAGAAGAAGCACCGGCUAACUCCGUGCCAGCAGCCGCGGUAAUUC
rnacentral:rRNA from 1 species